ensembl:processed_transcript
AAUCAGUUCGAAUCAUUUAGUCUACGAGCAAGCAGCGUGUUGUGCUUUUCUGAAAAACAAGAACUCGACACCUUUGAUUACAUGAGGAUGAUGGCAGCACUAAAUUAAUGAUAUAUUUACCUUCAAUCAAUAGAAAGAGCCAAAUGCAUCGUAUGACUGCAGUGAGGAAAGCGUGUCAAGUUCAACUGAGCCACGUGGAGUGUACGAUUGACACAGGAAUUCUUCAUGAUUUACCACAGCUUAUUGGAGUGAAGAAAAGAAAACUGCAUGGAUAUGG